UGUUUUGUGGUUUAGUUGGUUAAAGCAUCCGGCCUAGCGAAAACGGAGUCGUGGGUUCAAAUCCCACCAGAACGC
rnacentral:tRNA from 1 species